CCUACGGGAGGCAGCAGUGGGGAAUAUUGGACAAUGGGGGGAACCCUGAUCCAGCGACGCCGCGUGAGUGAAGAAGUAUUUCGGUAUGUAAAGCUCUAUCAGCAGGGAAGAAAGAAAUGACGGUACCUGACUAUGAAGCCCCGGCUAACUACGUGCCAGCAGCAGCGGUGAUACGUAGGGUGCAAGCGUUAUCCGGAUUUACUGGGUGUAAAGGGAGCGUAGACGGCGAUGCAAGUCUGAAGUGAAAGGCGGGGGCCCAACCCCCGGACUGCUUUGGAAACUGUAUGGCUGGAGUGCAGGAGAGGUAAGUGGAAUUCCUAGUGUAGCGGUGAAAUGCGUAGAUAUUAGGAGGAACACCAGUGGCGAAGGCGGCUUACUGAACUGUAACUGACAUUGAGGCUCGAAAGCGUGGGGAGCAAACAGGAUUAGAUACCCGUGUAGUC
rnacentral:rRNA from 1 species